UUAGGUGACUAUAGCAAUAGGGUCCCACCUCUUCCCAUUCCGAACAGAGAAGUUAAACCUAUUUGCGCCGAUGGUACUGCAAUUUGUGGGAGAGUAGGUCGUUGCCGAAU
rnacentral:rRNA from 3 species